rnacentral:rRNA from 1 species
CUACCCUUGACAUGGCUGGAAUCCUCGAGAGAUUGAGGAGUGCUCGAAAGAGAACCAGUACACAGGUGCUGCAUGGCUGUCGUCAGCUCGUGUCGUGAGAUGUUGGGUUAAGUCCCGCAACGAGCGCAACCCUUGUCAUUAGUUGCUACGAAAGGGCACUCUAAUGAGACUGCCGGUGACAAACCGGAGGAAGGUGGGGAUGACGUCAAGUCCUCAUGGCCCUUAUGGGUAGGGCUUCACACGUCAUACAAUGGUACAUACAGAGCGCCGCCAACCCGCGAGGGGGAGCUAAUCGCAGAAAGUGUAUCGUAGUCCGGAUUGUAGUCUGCAACUCGACUGCAUGAAGUUGGAAUCGCUAGUAAUCGCGGAUCAGCAUGUCGCGGUGAAUACGUUCCC